ACCUCUCUGUCAGACACUCAGCUGUGCAGGAGUAGGCGGCUGGUGAGAGGUGUGUGUAUGUAUCAUAUGUGUGUGUAUGCCGCAUGUACCAUGAGUCUGGGGACCAGUGGGGGGGCUGACAUCUGUCGAGAAGCAGGUUGGAGGGGUCCCUCGCUCUCUCUCUUCUACUCCUCAUUUUCCACAGUCACUCACACACUCGCUCCUCUCUGCGCCACUCAAGGUCAUUGCAACACUGCGAAAGUUUGGAAGCUACAUGAUAGCAGGAGCUCAAGGUCUUCCAGACAGCUUCAUAAUGGCUGGCACCUCCUCAACACUGGCUCUAAUUGAAAGAUGAAUGAGUUUAUUUGGGCUUAAUCCAUCACCCUGUCACCUGAAGAGAGGGAGAAAGUCCUAGAAGGAGAGGAGAGGAGAGAAGGGUAGCAACGAGGACAGAGGAUGAGAAGAGACAGGAUCAAGGGAAGAACAAGAUCACAGAGACACACAAAAGCAGAUACGAGGCGUACCUCAUAAACAACAUCCUUCAUUUGUCAUGUGACCAUAAAUGGCCCCUGACACCUGG